rnacentral:rRNA from 1 species
AUACGGAGGAUCCGAGCGUUAUCCGGAUUUAUUGGGUUUAAAGGGAGCGUAGGUGGGAUAUUAAGUCAGCUGUGAAAGUUUGGGGCUCAACCUUAAAAUUGCAGUUGAUACUGGUUUCCUUGAGUACGGUACAGGUGGGCGGAAUUCGUGGGGUAGCGGUGAAAUGCUUAGAUAUCACGAAGAACUCCGAUCGCGAAGGCAGCUCACCGGGCCGGAACUGACACUGACGCUCGAAAGUGCGGGUAUCAAACAGGAUUAGAUACCCUGGUAGUCCGCACAGUAAACGAUGAAUACUCGCUGUUUGCGAUACACGGUAAGCGGCCAAGCGAAAGCGUUAAGUAUUCCACCUGGGGAGUACGCCGGCAACGGUGAAACUCAAAUGAAUUGGCGGGG